CGAAGCUGCCGCUUGAGCAUGCAAGUCGAGCGGACAGAUGGGAGCUUGCUCCCUGAUGUUAGCGGCGGACGGGUGAGUAACACGUGGGUAACCUGCCUGUAAGACUGGGAUAACUCCGGGAAACCGGGGCUAAUACCGGAUGGUUGUUUGAACCGCAUGGUUCAAACAUAAAAGGUGGCUUCGGCUACCACUUACAGAUGGACCCGCGGCGCAUUAGCUAGUUGGUGAGGUAACGGCUCACCAAGGCAACGAUGCGUAGCCGACCUGAGAGGGUGAUCGGCCACACUGGGACUGAGACACGGCCCAGACUCCUACGGGAGGCAGCAGUAGGGAAUCUUCCGCAAUGGACGAAAGUCUGACGGAGCAACGCCGCGUGAGUGAUGAAGGUUUUCGGAUCGUAAAGCUCUGUUGUUAGGGAAGAACAAGUACCGUUCGAAUAGGGCGGUACCUUGACGGUACCUAACCAGAAAGCCACGGCUAACUACGUGCCAGCAGCCGCGGUAAUACGUAGGUGGCAAGCGUUGUCCGGAAUUAUUGGGCGUAAAGGGCUCGCAGGCGGUUUCUUAAGUCUGAUGUGAAAGCCCCCGGCUCAACCGGGGAGGGUCAUUGGAAACUGGGGAACUUGAGUGCAGAAGAGGAGAGUGGAAUUCCACGUGUAGCGGUGAAAUGCGUAGAGAUGUGGAGGAACACCAGUGGCGAAGGCGACUCUCUGGUCUGUAACUGACGCUGAGGAGCGAAAGCGUGGGGAGCGAACAGGAUUAGAUACCCUGGUAGUCCACGCCGUAAACGAUGAGUGCUAAGUGUUAGGGGGUUUCCGCCCCUUAGUGCUGCAGCUAACGCAUUAAGCACUCCGCCCUGGGGAGUACGGUCGCAAGACUGAAACUCAAAGGGAAUUGACGGGGGCCCGCACAAGCGGUGGAGCAUGUGGUUUAAUUUCGAAGCACGCGAAGAACCUUUACCAGUCUUGACAUCUCUGACAUCUAGAAGAAUAGGACGUCGCACGGGGCCAGAGUGACAGGUUGGUGCAUGAUUGUUCGGUCAGCCUCGGUG
rnacentral:rRNA from 1 species